rnacentral:rRNA from 1 species
UUACUACUUGGAUAACCGUGGUAAUUCUAGAGCUAAUACAUGCUAAAAACCCCAACUUCGGGAGGGGUGUAUUUAUUAGAUAAAAAACCAAUGCCCUUCGGGGCUCUCUGGUGAUUCAUAAUAACUUCUCAGAUCGCAUGGCCUUGCGCCGGCGACGGUUCAUUCAAAUUUCUGCCCUAUCAACUUUCGAUGGUAAGGUAUUGGCUUACCAUGGUUUCAACGGGUAACGGGGAAUUAGGGUUCGAUUCCGGAGAGGGAGCCUGAGAAACGGCUACCACAUCCAAGGAAGGCAGCAGGCGCGCAAAUUACCCAAUCCCAAUACGGGGAGGUAGUGACAAUAAAUACUGAUACAGGGCUCUUUAGGGUCUUGUAAUUGGAAUGAGUACAAUUUAAACCUCUUAACGAGGAACAAUUGGAGGGCAAGUCUGGUGCCAGCAGCCGCGGUAAUUCCAGCUCCAAUAGCGUAUAUUAAAGUUGUUGCAGUUAAAAAGCUCGUAGUUGAACCUUUGGCCUGGCUGGCGGGUCCGCCUCACCGCGUGCACUCGCCCGGCCGGGCCUUUUCUUCUGGAGAACCGCAUGCCCUUCACUGGGUGUGUUGGGGACCAGGACUUUUACUUUGAAUAAAUCAGAGUGUUCAAAGCAGGCAUUUGCUCGAAUACGUUAGCAUGGAAUAAUAGAAUAGGACGUGCGGUCUUAUUUUGUUGGUUUCUAAGACCGCCGUAAUGAUUAAUAGGGACAGUCGGGGGCAUCAGUAUUCAAUUGUCAGAGGUGAAAUUCUUGGAUUUAUUGAAGACUAACUACUGCGAAAGCAUUUGCCAAGGAUGUUUUCAUUAAUCAGUGAACGAAAGUUAGGGGAUCGAAGACGAUCAGAUACCGUCGUAGUCUUAACCAUAAACUAUGCCGACUAGGGAUCGGGCGGUGUUACUAUUUUGACUCGCUCGGCACCUUACGA